GGCCCCAUAGCUCAGCGGUAGAGCAGUUGACUCUUAAUCAAUUGGUCGCUGGUUCGAAUCCAGCUGGGGUCA
rnacentral:tRNA from 3 species